rnacentral:lncRNA from 1 species
GUGGAGUCUGAAGUUGCCUUCUCUCUCUUACCUCCACCAAAGUCCUCCUCACCUCUCACUCACACAUCUUCUCCUGGAUUCUGUAUCUCCUUCUACCAACUCCCAAUCAAUGAACCAGCUCUCAGCUAAUUUCAAGGUAAUGUGUGAAAGCUGAAUGGUCUUAAUAUAGGGUAUUAGAUCUUGGUAGAAAAAUUAUCUAAACUCUACACUAGUAUGGCAAUAUGUAAAUCAAUGGAUGAGUAACUGAUGUAAUUCUGCAAUCUGUAUAUGGGGUAAAAAUGGGAGCUCAUAACCCACUUGAAUCAAAGUGUGAAAUAUGAUAUAUCAAUAACUAUGUAAUGUUUUGAACAGCCAACAAUAAAAAAUUAAAAAAAAAAGAAAAAUUAUCUAAACUCUAUAAAAUCAUGAUGUCUGCAGUUUCACAACUGGGUUUAGAACUGUGAAUUCUAGAGAUUGUUCUCUCACAAUGCAAUUGUUUAUAGCAGUGAUAUAGUAGUGAAAAACAAACCAUCCCCUCUGAUCAACACCAGAGAAGAUGUACAUUCCUUUGAAAAGAUUUCCUAAAGAACAAGGCAAAGAGAUCUGCACUGUUCAGAUGAUGUACAAAUUUAAUAAAUGCAAGGUUAGGGCUUAGAGAAGUAAACCCUUAUUAGAAUUCCAGAUAAAAAUACAGGAUGUUCAGUUAAAUUUGAAUUUCAGACAAAUAAAGAAUAUUUUUUGUAUAUAUAUGUCCCAAAUAUUGUAUGAGACACCCUGUAAUUUUAUUUGUUAAAUCUAACAACUCUAGCUAUUUUUUUCAAUAUAAUUUCAACAAUUAAUAUUUGCUGAGUAUUUCUGGUUUGAUGAAGUGACCUCAGGAGCCCCAGGCCUUAUGUUUGUCUCUUAAACCAUUGUAUCCACAGGCUGCAGCAUAGUGUUUGGCAUAGAGUUGAUGAUUAAUAAAUAUUUUUUGAAAAUUUUAAUCAAAGGAAUAAAUGAAUUACAAAAUAUAAUGAUUCUUCUAACCUAGGUAGGAAUGCAAGCUCUCAUACAUAUAAAGAUAAUGUGACUAAUGUGAUCUAGUUUUGGAUUUCAGCUGAUUUAUUUACUUAAUAGACUAGCCCACUUAGGUAAAUAAUUCAGAUACUAAAUUGGUUACUCCCACUUCAAAGAGAAGUGAUAAUUAAACUGGGGAUUGAACAAUGGUCUAACCUAAAUUCAAUGCAAUAUUUUAAAUUUUCUGAUUUAAAUUGCCCUCCUAAACAUAACAUUGCCUAUCUCCUUUUUCAUAUACACUUUUAUUCUACAGUUCCUAUCAAAUAAGUUGUAUGACUUUAAUUCUCUUAUUUCUGACAGAGUUGAAUUUGAUGGAGUGGAAAUGGAUGGGCACUAACUAAUCAGCUGUGACCUAGAGCUUUACUACUAGUAAAAUUAUUGGUUUGAUCUAGAUUUUCCUUCUAAGGCAUUUCUAACUCAUUAUAACACUUUCAUCUAUAAUAGCCUUAAAUGAAGGCUAGUUAAUAUAUAAUAUUUUUUCUAGUAUAAAACUUAGGCAUAUAGAAUUUCUCAUUGUUAGUUUAUUAUUUUUUGAAAUAUAAAGAUAAAACACAAAUUUAACAUAAUCAUAAACUCCUCAAAUCUCAGGAUUGUAAGACCUUAAGUAUACCAUUUAUAAUUGAGAUCAUAUAAUCUCUUUCUCCUUCAGAGGAAAACCCUGAAGAACUAUACAAGUUUCUGAGAAUAAAACCCUAAACACUUUCUUAUCUAUACUUUUUUAGCCUUUCUUAUAUAGACUAUUUCUUUCUUGCUUGAAGUGAUACUCACAUUCAGUCAUUAAAAUUGGAAUCCCAAUGGAAAGAAAAGAUUGAAAAUUUGGGGUCUAUUUUAAAAAAAAAUACAAAAACAGUGUGUCAAGAAACACCGUAAACAAAGUCAUAAACAACACAUUCAUAAAGUUAAGGGAUAUAGAACUGGUGGGAAGAUUAACCAAUACAUUUACAUAUCAGGAGAAAAUACAAACCAUCUUGAAAAUAAUAAAAAGUGUGCAAUGACACUCAAAAUAGAAAUCUGAACUAAAAAUGUCAUUUAAAUACUAUUUUCUUCCAUCAGAUUGGCAGAAAUCCAAGUCUUGCUAAUAUAUUCUGUGUGUGUGUCCCCAAUGGCAGUGGGGACCUGGAAUGCCCACAUUUUCCUGGUAGGAGUAGAGUUUUGUAUAAUCUUCCAAUUUGGCAAUUUGGUUCUAUCUAUCAGUAUUACAAAGCCCCUACCGACUGAUUAAUAAUCCCACUUCUAGGAAUUAAUCCUACAUAUAUAUUUUCACGUGUGAGAAAUUAUGUUUAAAGUUAUUAACUGCUGCACCGUUUGUAAUAAUGAAGGAUUGGAAACAAUCCACUAUCCAUCAAAAAGGAAGCAGUUAAAUAUCUUAUUGUAUAUCCAUACAAUGGAACAUUGUGCAAAGGCAAAAUGCAUGAGAAAACUCUCUGUAUUCUACAAGGAAAGGAGAGAUCUAAAAAGGCAAAGUGUGCAGGGUGUGGAAAGGAUAAAUAAACAGUUUCUAUACAAAGAAACUGUCAGGACGUAUGAGAAACUCACAGAAAUGGUUACCUAUUUCCAUCAGAGGUGGAAAAGAUGGAUGGGGAGAUGAUGGGAUUUGGAGUGAAAGAAGCUCUCUUCCACAUACCUGCUGUGUGCCCAGGCCCAGCAGCAAGAGAGAGCUUGGCCAUUGGGGUGAACUUCAGCGGUCUGACUGACAGGAGCAUAGAAUGUGAAGAUGGGGAGUGGUGAGAGGGGAGUGAAGAGACAAGGAGCUGCCCUGGAGGAAGGCUGACCUAUGAGGGUGCCAGACCCCGCAGGUGAGAAAGUCAAACCAGGUGCAGGGAGGUGAUUUCCAGGAAGGCUUAGGAUGAAUGGCUAAAGCCAGAGAAUCCCUGCAGAGGGAGAGGACAGCAGUCCAUGUGCAGCCCAGGAAGGGAUCUGGGGCAGAAAUGCCCAGGACAUAUCUAGCAGCCGUGUCUAAGUAGAUGGAGUGGGGGGUCAUGGGAAAAGCAAGCCCAGACUUUAUCCUUUGGGAAAAUAAAACAAAACGUGCUUCCUUCGGGAAUCACCGAUACACUCUUGUGCUUUGUCUGCCAGCCCUAUGAUAGCUUCUAAGAAGCCAUGGUGACUUCUAACAAUUUGUUCCUUAUGGUCUUAUUUAUAAGCUGAGCUUUUAAGAUCCCCGAAGACGGAUCAAUUUCUAAUAAGAAGAUGGGGACUUGAGACCCUGAGUGACCAGCUAUGCG